UACAGAGGGUGCGAGCGUUGUCCGGAAUCACUGGGCGUAAAGGGCGCGUAGGUGGCGCGACCAGUCAGUGGUGAAAGCUCGGCGCUUAACGCCGAGUCGGCCACUGAUACUGUCGGGCUGGAGCACUGUAGAGGCAGAUGGAAUUCCGGGUGUAGCGGUGGAAUGCGUAGAGAUCCGGAAGAACACCGGUGGCGAAGGCGGUCUGCUGGGCAGUAGCUGACACUGAGGCGCGACAGCGUGGGGAGCAAACAGG
rnacentral:rRNA from 1 species